rnacentral:rRNA from 1 species
UCGGGAAUUUUGGGCAAUGGGCGAAAGCCUGACCCAGCAACGCCGCGUGAAGGAUGAAGUAUUUCGGUAUGUAAACUUCGAAAGAAUAGGAAGAAUAAAUGACGGUACUAUUUAUAAGGUCCGGCUAACUACGUGCCAGCAGCCGCGGUAAUACGUAGGGACCAAGCGUUGUUCGGAUUUACUGGGCGUAAAGGGCGCGUAGGCGGCAAUUCAAGUCAUCUGUGAAAUCUCCGGGCUUAACUCGGAACGGUCAGAUGAUACUGCUUUGCUAGAGUGCAGAAGGGGCAAUCGGAAUUCUUGGUGUAGCGGUGAAAUGCGUAGAUAUCAAGAGGAACACCUGAGGUGAAGACGGGUUGCUGGGCUGACACUGACGCUGAGGCACGAAAGCCAGGGGAGCAAACGGGAUUAGAUACCCGAGUAGUCCCUGAGCGGGCUGGCAAGGCG